rnacentral:rRNA from 1 species
GACGGAGGAUGCAAGCGCUAUCCGGAAUUAUUGGGCGUAAAGAGCUUGUAGGCGGUUUGUCGCGUCUGCCGUGAAAAUUCGAGGCUCAACCUCGAACUUGCGGUGGGUACGGGCAGACUAGAGUGUGGUAGGGGAGACUGGAAUUCCUGGUGUAGCGGUGAAAUGCGCAGAUAUCAGGAGGAACACCGGUGGCGAAGGCGGGUCUCUGGGCCGAUACUGACGCUGAGGAGCGAAAGCGUGGGGAGCGAACAGG